rnacentral:piRNA from 1 species
UUGUCUAGAGGUAGAGAACCAGGGAA